rnacentral:tRNA from 1 species
GCAACGGUGGUCUAGCCUGGUCAGGAUGCCGCCCUUACACGGCGGAGGUCCCCGGUUCAAGUCCGGGCCGGCCCACCA